rnacentral:misc_RNA from 1 species
UCUCCGUAGGUGAACCUGCGGAGGGAUCAUUACUGAGUGAGGGUCUCCGGGCCCGACCUCCAACCCUUUUGUGAACCACCUCGUUGCUUCGGGGGCGACCCUGCCGUUCGCGGCGUGGGGCCCCCGGGGUCAAUCAAACACUGCAUUCUCUGCGUCGGAGUUUAAGUAAAUUAAACAAAACUUUCAACAACGGAUCUCUUGGUUCUGGCAUCGAUGAAGAACGCAGC